rnacentral:rRNA from 1 species
CCUACGGGAGGCAGCAGUGGGGAAUAUUGCACAAUGGGCGCAAGCCUGAUGCAGCAACGCCGCGUGAGGGACGACGGCCUUCGGGUUGUAAACCUCUUUUAGUAGGGAAGAAGCGAAAGUGACGGUACCUGCAGAAAAAAGCACCGGCUAACUACGUGCCAGCAGCCGCGGUAAUACGUAGGGUGCAAGCGUUAUCCGGAAUUAUUGGGCGUAAAGAGCUCGUAGGCGGUUUGUCGCGUCUGCUGUGAAAAACUGGAGGCUCAACCUCCAGCCUGCAGUGGGUACGGGCAAACUAGAGUGCGGUAGGGGAGAUUGGAAUUCCUGGUGUAGCGGUGGAAUGCGCAGAUAUCAGGAGGAACACCGAUGGCGAAGGCAGAUCUCUGGGCCGUAAACUGACGCUGAGGAGCGAAAGCAUGGGGAGCGAACAGGAUUAGAUACCCUGGUAGUCCAUGCCGUAAACGUUGGGCGCUAGAUGUGGGGACCAUUCCACGGUUUCCGUGUCGCAGCUAACGCAUUAAGCGCCCGCCUGGGGAGUACGGCCGCAAGGCUAAAACUCAAAUGAUUAGUAGNGUUGAGAGNGCGACGACGACGACGAGGAGAGG